rnacentral:misc_RNA from 1 species
AACGCACCUUGCACCCUUUGGAAUUCCGAAGGGUAUGCUCGUUUGAGUGUCAUUGUACUCUCACACUCUCUCAUCCUUUGGAUUCGGGGAGCGGUGGACUUGGGUGCUUGCUGCUUUUCCUUGUGGCUCACCUCAAAUGCGUUAGUGCACCUCUUGGUUGGACAUAGUACGGCGUGAUAAGUAUCUUCGCCGGCACCUCGCAAGAGGGUGGCCGAUUGAGAGCUCUGUGCUUUCAAACCGUCCUCGGACAACCUCUGACAACUUGACCUCAAAUCGAGUAGGACUACCCGCUGAACUUAA